UGUAGGAGUGAGCCUGCUCGCGAUAGCGGUGUAUCAGUCAAUAUUUGCAUCGGCUGAUAUGACGCUAUCGCGAGCAGGCUCACUCCUACA
rnacentral:misc_RNA from 1 species